CAGUACGUAAAGAACGAUGGUCGUUAAUACGCCCAGACAACAUUGCUGAGGGAACUGCAACAGCACAAGUGUGUCAUGAUGCAACAGCAAGAGAGGCAUGGACUUCAAAGUAUCUCACUGAAACUCCUACGAUCAACUGGUAGGACUGAACGAAAUAAUAUCAAAAAUAAAUAUUAGGAUCAUCGUCAUGAACGUUCAGUUUCAAUCGGCGCAAAAUGUUCUUCUUCCAUGGCUUAACGAAAUACGAAACCCGACGAUGGCUACUACUCAUUCUUCUCUCGAAAAAUUGCCAAGGCCGUGCGGAAGGGUGAUAUCGAAUUUAUAAAACAAAUUCAAAAACUCGAUAGCAACUUUUUGAACAUGUUUUUAAUAGAGAAGAGGGACUACGAC